rnacentral:rRNA from 1 species
UCCGUAGGUGAACCUGCGGAAGGAUCAUUAGUGAAUUAAACAUGCUUGGUGUCUUCGCUUCGGCAAGGCCCUUGCUUAACUCACAUCCCAACACCUGUGAACUGUAAGGCGCAUGACUAGGUUCGCCCAAGUCAUCGUCUGCCCUUUUUAACAAACAAUUAAUGUAACAAACGUAGUCUUAUUAUAACCUAAUAAAACUUUCAACAACGGAUCUCUUGGCUCUCGCAUCGAUGAAGAACGCAGCGAAAUGCGAUAAGUAAUGUGAAUUGCAGAAUUCAGUGAAUCAUCGAAUCUUUGAACGCACCUUGCGCUCUUUGGUAUUCCGAAGAGCAUGCCUGUUUGAGUGUCAUGAAAAUAUCAACCUUGACUUGGGUUUUGUGCUCUAGUCUCGGCUUGGAAUUGGGUGCUUGCCGCUUUUACGAGCGGCUCACCUUAAAUGUAUUAGCUGGAUCUGUCUUUGAGACUUGGUUUGACUUGGCGUAAUAAGUAUUUCGCUAAGGACAUUCUUCGGAGUGGCCUCGUUUCUAGGACGCUUGUCCGCUUUCCAAUACAAGUUCCACCUCGGUGGGACAUGGACUUUUUAUUAUCUGGGCCUCAAAUCAGGGUAGGGACUACCCGGCUGGAACUUAAGGCAUAUCAAUAAGGGCGGAGG